rnacentral:tRNA from 1 species
GGGGUUGUGGCUCAGUGGUUCUGUGCUUGCCUAGCAUGCAAGAGGUACUAGGUUCAAUCCCCAGCACCACA